UACGAAGGGGGCUAGCGUUGCUCGGAAUUACUGGGCGUAAAGCGUGCGCAGGCGGUUUUGUAAGCCAGAUGUGAAAUCCCCGGGCUUAACCUGGGAAUGGCAUUUGGGACUGCAAGGCUUGAGUGCGGCAGAGGAGACUGGAAUUCCUGGUGUAGCAGUGAAAUGCGUAGAUAUCAGGAGGAACACCGGUGGCGAAGGCGGGUCUCUGGGCCGUAACUGACGCUGAGGAGCGAAAGCAUGGGGAGCGAACAGG
rnacentral:rRNA from 1 species